rnacentral:rRNA from 1 species
CAAUAGCGUAUAUUAAAGCUGUUGCGAUUAAAAAGCUCGUAGUUGGAUUUCGGGUGGGACGCAGCGGUCUCGCAUUGCGUUUGUACUGCUGCAGCCCUCCUUCUUGCCGGGGGCGGCCUCUCGGACUUCACUGUCUGGGGGUCAGAAUCGGCGAUGUUACUUUGAGUAAAUUAGAGUGUUCAAAGCAAGCUUACGCUCUGAAUAUAAUAGCAUGGGAUAACACGACAGGACUCUGGCCUAUCGUGUUGGUCUAUAGGACCAGAGUAAUGAUUAAGAGGGACAGUCGGGGGCAUUCGUAUUCCGUUGUCAGAGGUGAAAUUCUUGGAUUUACGGAAGACGAACAUCUGCGAAAGCAUUUGCCAAGGAUGUUUUCAUUGA